CGGUGCACAGCAGCACCGGCAGCCAGGGCACUCCCCGCAGGCCACCGGCCGCCGCCCCGCCGCCGGGCAGCGAGGAGCAGAGCCAGCCGGCCAGCGCCGCGUUGGCCCCCGCCUGCCCCAGCAGCAGUGUGCACAGCAGACCUGAUGGAGAAUGUGAUACCCAACCAGGGCUUCUGACCUUCAGAAUUAUGUGAUGAAGAAGGGGCUUAGCGACUGUUGAAACUUUUGGGUUUUCCCUGGACCGUCAUCCAGGACAGCCUUGAAAACAGGCUGGAGAACUGGAAAAGAGUCAUUUGCUUACAACUAUUACAGACUCGCUAAUGGCAAAGCAGUAAGCUAAUCAGAAAAACGUCAUGGAGAAAAAGAAACUUCCACCAAAAUUCUGUUUAUUCACUCAUUAUUGCACCCGUUAAAAUGGGCCACAUUCUGUGUCAGUAUCUCAGCAGGCAGAUAGGCGUGAAAAGCUACCAGGGAGACCUGAACACUUUGUUGUGUUAGGAGAGACUUCCCCGACUCUGGGACAGGCAGCUAAUUUUUUUUCAAGGCUGAUUAAUUCCCUGGGAUUUCACAGGGACUGUUUGCUACUUCACAAGCACUUGCUGAUUUCCACCUUCUAACUCACCCUAGCUUCAGUGGGGAAAUUCUGCCUGGUACUCCACCUGGGCAUCGUUUACAGAGGAGCCAACUGGUAACCUCCUUUUCCAGACCUUACCCCAACUUGUACCACCUGGGGAACAGAUCUCACAAACUCUCCGAAGUACUACCAGCGGACAAGCUCAGUGCAUCUGCCUUUCUGUCUGCAGGUGAUAGGGACAAGCACAUGGCUCCUCCUUCAGUAUUAGGACCCUGUAGGAAUUACUGCCUGAGACCAACACAAACUUUUGAAACCACAGGCUGUCAUCAGCCCUGAAUUUCUCAUGGAUUUCUUGAUGCUGAGAAUGUUGUGAAGACAAUCCAGUUUUGUGCCUCACUGCACUCACAUUUUGGAUCACUGUUUGGAGACUAUGUACCUGUGGCAGUAGUUGUCUUUAUUAACUUGCAGAUUAAAUUCCUGAAAGAUUUUCUAGUUAUGAGCCCCUCAGUAUAGGAACUGAAGACUGAAUUACAUGUUUGCUUUUUUAGUUAAGUACAUACUUGGAAAGUAUUCUUGUUCGUAGUACUGUUGUCACCAGAAAUCCUCGUACAGCACUUGGAAAUUGCUGGUCCAGGUUAGUGGUUAGUACAAUUAAAACAAACAAACAAACAAAACACAAAACAAAACAAACAACAAACAUAGCACUGCAGGAGGAGGAACCACAAGGUGGCAAUCUCUCUCCAUACUUCUACUGGCAAAAUAAACCUCUGGCAAAAAAAAAUCUCCAACAGUGACUGUGUAAAGCUUCAGAGACAGUUGGUCACAUCUUGUAUCUUCCAGAGUUGUGGCAACAUUCGUUUUGAUGCUGCAUUUUCUCUUCUGAACGCUUUUGCCUUUAGGAUAAAGGUCUCAGGCUCAAAGAGGUGGCACUAGAGGCUGCUCUUUGCUGUUUUUCCAUCCUUUGCCCCAAAAUGGGCACCAGAUGUUGCUUGUUAGAUUGCUAACUACCAGUGCUGCUUGCAUGCGUGCUGGCAGAGCUACUGUGUGCUUGGAGGGAGAAUUUCCUCCUUCACUGGAGCCACUGUAAGUAGCAGCUGGUUCAGAGUAGUGCUAACCUCAUAUUAUAUUAAUGUACCAUACAACAGUUGCGUUAGGAUCCUGCUUUAAGCAACAAGAUGCCUCAACAGGAGCAAAAUAACAUGCAUGUUAGGACUAGGUAGUGAUCUGUAGGUCAAGUGUGGCAUAUAGUCUUGGGGUGACUGCAAAACCUUAGCAACAAUAGCUCCACCCCCAAAAAGAUGUGUCCAGAGAGUGUAAAGAUGAAAAAGAGAAAUAAUGCUCAGGUUGGGGUGGAGCCACCCUGGUCCUACAGUAUCAAACACCAUCUGUUGCAAUGAGCUCCAUCUCGACAUAGUUGUGUUCUUGCCAGAUGUUAGCUUACAUGUGCUACAUGUAAAAGUAAACUGGUGCGAAAGCUGUGGUCUGAUGUGCUUUCAGUAGGAUUUGCCCUGCAUAAGUGACGACGUGCUAGCCAGCCUCUCACUGAGAGGAUGCACUCCAGAAGUUGCAGGUGUGUGGCUGGAGCGUUUUCAAUGAUCCAAGAUAGGAAAUAUCUUCCAAAGCUCCGAGUAAGACAAAACAAACUGAGCUUUAGCACAUGCUCAAUUGAUUGAGUCUUUGGCAAAGUAUGACAUGAAUUUGCGAGGCUCUCGCUGAGGCCUGGCCCAGCUGUAUCCUGCCUGGCAAGUCCUUCAGCAAGCACAACACGGCUGCCCUUGUUUUCUUCUUGUGCUGAAGACUCCUCCUUUUACCUGUUCUCCCCUUAAGACAUUGCUCUUCAGUUAGGAAUAAUAACCACUCAGGUUCUGCUUUAUGCCAUGUCUGCCGCCACUGAGCUCUCUCUGCAGCUUAUGCAUUGCAGCCUGCAUGUUGCAGCCUGCAAGGCCCACGUCCCCUGCCACCAGGGUCAUCUCUGUUUGUGGCUAUCCUCUUCCAGCUCUGACCUGGAAGAGGCAGGAAGUGUGGACAUGGGGAGGUCCCUUCACAUCACCUUGACUUUAAGGUCUGAAGCCGGAUUCCCAGAGGCUGGAGGUUGCAAUUCACUUCCUUCCUGUUUGAUGGGAGCUGAGGUGGUCUGAUGUCUGCUGGUCCUCUAGAAAAGGGCCUGGAGUUGCCAGGGGACUGCUAAUGGGAAUAGAAAUGUUAGCAAUCCAAAUCACCAUGGGAAACAGAAGGCAUAAAUAAAAUCUGGGUUUUUUUUCUUUCCCAGAAAGUGUGAAGAAAUCUAGCAAGUGCAAGGCUGGCUUCUCCUGAAACAUCUACAAUAUGAUUGUCACUAGUGCUCUGUAGACAGCUGAGAAAAGAUACUUCCCCAAGUAAGAGAAAUAAGCAAAUAUGUGGGACAUAACUUCUGAAGCAGAAGAAAUAAGACCCAAGGCAAGGGAGCUCCAAACAGUGCACUGUGGGUUUUUUGUUGUUUUGUUUUUUGUUUGUUUUUUUUUUUUUUCCAUCUCAGAGUCUGUGGUGUUCAAUUAACCCCCUUUCUCUAUGCUGGCCGUGGUUGCUGCAGGUUUGUAAAGCUUUACCCGGCCUUCUGGAUGAUGACGUGUUAAGCGCUUGGUUUGUGAUAACCAAUUUUCUCCUGAAAUUAUACCAAAAGUCUGCUGUUUUGAUUUAAACUGUUUUCCAAGCAUUUUGGUUAAUAACAACAGACAGUCCACUCCAAGAGAAUCUAACUUGAGGAAGCCAUGAAAUUUAAUUCAUUUCUGUGACUUAAAUAUAUAAUCAGUGACAUAUGGUAAUACUAAAUACAGGGGGAAUUGUCAUUGUUUAACUCAAAUUUCUGCGUUCAGUCAAAACUCAAUAGUUGUAACAUCAAACUGUAUUUUCCAUUGUACAGGAAAUAAAGCAUCAUUUUCUCAAAGAAAAUAGACAUGCAAUUGCAUGCCUAUUA